rnacentral:rRNA from 1 species
UAGGGAAUCUUCGGCAAUGGGGGGAACCCUGACCGAGCAACGCCGCGUGAGUGAAGAAGGUUUUCGGAUCGUAAAGCUCUGUUGUUAAGGAAGAACGAGUGUGAGAAUGGAAAGUUCAUACUGUGACGGUACUUAACCAGAAAGGGACGGCUAACUACGUGCCAGCAGCCGCGGUAAUACGUAGGUCCCGAGCGUUGUCCGGAUUUAUUGGGCGUAAAGCGAGCGCAGGCGGUUAGAUAAGUCUGAAGUUAAAGGCAGUGGCUCAACCAUUGUAGGCUUUGGAAACUGUUUAACCUGAGUGCAGAAGGGGAGAGGGGAAUUCCAUGUGUAGCGGUGAAAUGCGUAGAUAUAUGGAGGAACACCGGUGGCGAAAGCGGCUCUCUGGUCUGUAACUGACGCUGAGGCUCGAAAGCGUGGAGAGCGAACAGG